GGUGUGCCAUAGACUUACCUCCACGUGGUGCACACUAGGCAACGUAUACUCAUACGGCAAAAAUAGUCCAU
rfam:Hymenolepis nana genome assembly, scaffold: HNAJ_scaffold0001880